CGGCGAACGGGUGAGUAACGCGUGGAUUAUCUGCCCUGAGGUGGGGGGAUAACCCGGGGAAACUCGGGCUAAUACCGCAUAUGACCGUGAGGUCAAAGGGGGGUCGCAAGAUCUCUCGCCAUAGGAGGAGUCCGCGUACGAUUAGCUAGUUGGUAGGGUAAUGGCCUACCAAGGCGACGAUCGUUAGCCGGCCUGAGAGGGUGAUCGGCCACACUGGAACUGAGACACGGUCCAG
rnacentral:rRNA from 1 species